rnacentral:lncRNA from 1 species
GAAAAGCUUAUGAGCUGAGACCUACGAUUGCUCUCAAAUAGUCUGAGAGACUUAGCAAAAUGAUGUCUAAAUAACUUACCAGAUAAUAUUUAAUCUCACAGUUUUCAGAUCUGAAAACAGUCUGAUAAACUAGAGGAAGGUCAAGUCCAGCGUCUGAGGAGUCCUUUUGGCAUCUGUAUGGACACCUGGAUUGGAGGGGGAACAUAGAACACCACUUUUUGGCACAUACCUACCUAGAAAGGUCAUAAUGUCAAUCAGUGCCAAAGAGAAGGAGGUUACUGACUGAUUAAUGAAUAUGUAUGGAUCCAAAUGGUAAAGGAGCUCCUGACGGGAUCUGAGGCACCUGUUUUUCACUGUUGUAGCAGAAAUGUUAAGUCACAGCCUGAACCAGUGAUUGAGCACCUGGUGGGAAGGCAGGGCCAACCCAGGGGAGCUCAGGUGCAUGCAAUGAACCUGAGUGAGCAGAAGGGGUGCAGGCAGGAUCCGCCCCUUCCCAGACUUCAUUUAAAGGUUGGCAGUGGAGGCAAGGGUAUCUUGCUGAAGAUUGCUGCAUAUCUCAGGUCUUCCUAAGGUAAGCAGUUUUCCUUUCUUUGUUUUUGCUUCCAUAUCUGCUUCAUCUGGGCUUGUUCUCGUUUGCUAUAGACUAGGAUUGUGCUACUCUGCUGUUAUUGCUAUACUUUCCAUCACAUUAUAGCAUUACAAUUGUCACCAGCUGUUAAUUCAACUCCUAUACUGUUGUGUCAUGCUCACACCUCAGUGCUGUAAAAUUAC